CUCCAGCAGAGGAGAAGAGGUGAGCAACACCUCAUUCCUUCCAGGUGUGGGAAAAUGUUCAGACUCCUCAUUCCAGGUGGGGAUCUUUUUCCUGCUGGAGAGGGUAGAAGUGCUGACUUCCCACCAGAGCUCCACCUUCCUUGGAUGGAAGAGAUUUAUAAAUGGAACAAUCGCUAGCAACCAACUCUGUAACAGGCAUUUUUCUAAGGGCUUCACAAUAUUGGCUUUCAUACGUGUUCUUGGAGAUGAC
rnacentral:lncRNA from 1 species